UUGGACUUUUGAGGAGAGAUUUCUAAGCAAGCAACUGCAGAACCGGAAGAAAUUCAGAACUAGAGCUCAAGAAAGAGAUAAGGGUUGGCAUCAUUGAAUCCUUGGGAGGUAACCAAAGUAAAGAGAGAGAAGGCCCAUGACAGAGCCCUAGGGACUGACUCCCACAAAGGAACUGAAACAUGGCAUCCCACUUUGGAUGACAUAUUAAGUCAUGAAGAUGAUACUGGUCCAUCCAUAAGAAGGGGGAUAUAGAGUGGUUCAACUAAGAAGAUACCAUCUGACUUUUUAAGGGCUUAGAUGCAAGGACAGAGGUUCCUGACUUUUGCAUCACCGACCUCUGGCAAUUUGAUAAAAUC
rnacentral:lncRNA from 1 species